rnacentral:rRNA from 1 species
GAUGAACGCUGGCGGCGUGCCUAAUACAUGCAAGUCGAGCGAACGGACGAGAAGCUUGCUUCUCUGAUGUUAGCGGCGGACGGGUGAGUAACACGUGGAUAACCUACCUAUAAGACUGGGAUAACUUCGGGAAACCGGAGCUAAUACCGGAUAAUAUUUUGAACCGCAUGGUUCAAAAGUGAAAGACGGUCUUGCUGUCACUUAUGGAUGGAUCCGCGCUGCAUUAGCUAGUUGGUAAGGUAACGGCUUACCAAGGCAACGAUGCAUAGCCGACCUGAGAGGGUGAUCGGCCACACUGGUACUGAGACACGGUCCAGACUCCUACGGGAGGCAGCAGUAGGGAAUCUUCCGCAAUGGGCGAAAGCCUGACGGAGCAACGCCGCGUGAGUGAUGAAGGUCUUCGGAUCGUAAAACUCUGUUAUUAGGGAAGAACAUAUGUGUAAGUAACUGUGCACAUCUUGACGGUACCUAAUCAGAAAGCCACGGCUAACUACGUG